rnacentral:lncRNA from 1 species
GUGGGUUCAAAUAGCUCUACCCUUUAGUUGAAACAACAUUAGUGAUUGAAGGGAUAGAUUUUUACCUUUACAUGAAUUUGUAGUUGCGGAAAACUUGUAAAGAUUAGUUGGCCUUGAAUCCAAAGAGGGAAAUACCUAAAAAAGACACUCUAACGCCCGAAUUUAGUGCUUGACUAAGGUUGAUAUAAUGAAGAAUGGAGAAGAAAAUGUGUUUUCUCUCUCUAGGAUGAACAUUGUUCUUCAGAGGCCGAAAGACCCCUUUCUUAUAGAGGUGGCCUCUAUUUAUAGAUGAUGGGUGACAUGAAUUUAGGGGUUUUACCUUAAGAUCUCUUCCUAAUGACACGUGUCACCUAUCAUUUUUAUAUACAUGGAUAUGAAUUUGAUUGUAAGGAAACAAACAUAUUUAUUUCCUAUAUGCAUGUUUCCCUACAUAUGACUUUUGGCGUGGUUUCCUUAGGCCAUUGAAUUUGAAAUGAGUUUAAUUCCCCCUCUUGCCGCUUUUACAAGUUCCUAGGAAAUUUUAUCUUGGGUGUUAUUUCUCUUGGAAUAAUUCCUUUUUGUCUUAGUUGUCGCUUCCUUCAGAAAAAUUUCUUUUUACCUAGAAGAGUAGGCACGUGGCGUAAUGGGCUAUCUUUGAAAUAUGGCAUCUACAGUGAUCAACAAUAGACUUAUGUAAAGAAAAUGGUAUAAUUAAUUAAUUAUUUAAACUUUUUUCUUUACUUUAAAUUUAAAAAAUGUGAUUUUAUUGAUUGAAAUGGGGUAGUAUACAUAACUUAUGGGGCAUAAAUAAAUUAAUAUAAAUUAAAAUUAAAAUAAAUUAAUGAACACCAAAAUUAAGAAAUAUAUAUUUUGAUGUGAAUAAAAAAUUAAUAAUAAGAUUUUUUAUUUUACUUUUUAUUAUUUUUAAAAUUUUUCCUUAUAAUAAAUACGUAUUUUCUAUUUGUAAAAUCAAAUUCAUGCGAAUAAUUCAUUUACCCCUCUUUUCCUUAAUUUUUAAUGCUAGGGAGUUAUUGAAUACUAUGAAUGGUAUGUAUUGAUUUUGGUAGGAGAAAACUGGUAGUUUCCCAUUAUUUAAUUAUCGAUAUUAAAAAAUAAUUAGGUUUUUGAUAAAUUGUAUUGUUAACAGUGCUAAGAUGAAUUGCAAAAUAGGUGCAUGCAUAAGUUCGGUAAAUUUUAUUAGCUAGGUGUUGUGAUAUUGUGUAAUAACUAAUAACAAUACUAGAUACAUGAUUAAUUAAAUUAUCCGCUAACACACGCAGAUAUUAUUAUGAUUCUAUUAUAAGCAUGAAAAUUUGGGUAAUAUAUAUAGAUUUUAAAUUUUCGUUAAUCUAAUUCAUACUCAAAAAAGCUAACUAGCUUAUAAUAAUCUGUAAAAAAAAAAAUUAAUUACCAGAUAAUUUAAUUGGUAAAUUCACCAUAUCAUCAGCAAAAAUAAUAAUAAUAAUUACCAAAUGUGUUAAGUCUUAAAAAUUAAUCCUGUAGAAUAAUCAAUUCGAUCACCCUGAAAAAAGAAUUAGAAAAGGAAAAACAUGAAACGAUCAAAGUAAUUUAGAGGUUGGCAUAUUUGUGCAAACCAAGAAUUUUAUUGUCGACUUGUCUGUAACAAAAUCGUAUGAAUUAGGCAAGAUAUGCUAUUGAAAACGACAAUGGGUUUCAUCGCAAGCGUAUCCGAUGCUAAAACUUGUAAUCAUCGAUCAAAAACCUUGUUGGGAAACAAAUUAAUUAAAGCUGUCUACAAACAAAGAAGCCGACCAUACCUCAACAUGACCCAAGUCUUUGCUUCACGAAAGACAUGCAUGCAUGGCCAACAAGUUUUGAUCAACUUACAAUUGGUCUGUAAACUCACGACGGCUUUCGCAUUCACGUGUGUAUUUACUUUUAUAUGAAAUUGAUUUAUAAAAAUUCAUGUUGUUAAGCGGUCAAUGUUAAUUUAUAGUAAUAGAAAACCAUGAGUUGAAGAUUACCUUAAGCAAGUGCGAAGGAUUCUUGAAACGCUUGAGACUCAAAUCCUCCAAACAAAAGAAAUUUAUUGAAAUUGUCGAAGUAAAUUAACUCCUAAGCCCCCAAUAAAUUACUUUUUGUUAUAAAUUAAAAGGGAUUGGACUUUAUAGCUCAUACUUUUGGAGUAGAUAUUGAUUUUGUUCUAAAUAACUUAUAAAUUCAUCUUAGGGUAAAUAUUUAUUUAGUUUCGAUAUUUUAAUUUAAGUACUCGUUUAAUCCCCAUAUUUCAAAAAUAUCUCAAAAUAUCCUUACAUUUAAAUAUGUUAUAUUCUAAGCCUUAUUUUUUUCUUAGCUUUUACAAAAAUAUCCUUGCCACCAUAUU